CCAACCCGCAUGCCGAUGUGUCCUUGGGCAAGACACUUAACCCAACAUCGCUCCUGUAGCUGCGACUACAGUGUGUGGAUGGUAGUGGGCAGGUAUGGUUCUCCUGUCAUCAGUGUAUGAAUGGGUGAAUGAUGUCAUGUAGUGUUAAAGCGCUUUGAGUGGUCAGAAGACUAGAAAGGUGCUAUACAAGUCCAUUUUCUUUCUUAGUUUUCGCGAUUGAAGAAGCUUAAAAAUGUUUAAUGUGACAUGUGCAAGUUGUGUUUUGUUACUGUUACUGACCACAUCGAUCAAGAAGAGGAAAAAACUUGAGGCUACUAAUUUGAGGCUUUAACCAGAGCUUAGCCUCACGUUUAAAUACACUUUGCUGGACCGGUUCACCAUUUGCUAACUAGCCCUUGAGUUUUUUUUUUUUUUAAAUCAUUUUUGUUGAUUAUUCACAGUAAACCUUCCCGGCCACUGGUUACACUUAGUAUGUGCAUCACACUGGCUAGACAAUUGUGAUCUGAUGGCGCUGACAACAACAUAGCAGGAUUUAAUAAAGCUCUUGGGUAUUUUUUAAAACAUUUAAUCCUUAAAUGUUAGCCAUUUAUAGAAAAUGUGUACUAAUAAAAAGUCUCCAGAGUUCAGAAUUAUACUCAAACCAUUCAUUUGACUUGUGUUAUUAACUGACAUGGAAUCUAGAACUGUCUGUCUCUACUCUCUAGCGAUAUGGGGGGGAUUAUAUCAUACCUCCACAUUAAGAUGGCUGACUUUAGAUACCCCUGGUUGCAUUUCAGAGGAACAGUGUGUGCCUUGUUAUAGUUUCAAUCUUUCGUGAGGAGAUGAUUUGCCCAGCAGCCUGAGGUCCAGCUAUCUGUAUCUGAACACUUCUCAACAUUUCUUGUAAUGGUUCAAUUCAAUUCAUUGUAUUUUGUAACAAAUUACAAAUUUGCCUCAGAGGGCUUUACAGUCUGUACACAUGCGAAAUCCUCUGUCCCAAAACCCUCACAUCGGCACAGGAAAAACUCUUCCAUGGGGGAAAAAAGGAAGAAACUUUAGAGAGAACAUCAGCAUCACUCUAUCGGGAUGGACAGAUACAAUGGGUGUCAUGUGUAAAACAUGUACAAUACAUUACAAGUAUUGAGUUUUUGUUUUCAAUAAAUGUCCUGUC
ensembl:lncRNA